rnacentral:misc_RNA from 1 species
UCGAAACCUCCAAAUGACCCGCGAACCAGUUAUCCACAAGUCGGGGGUGUCGGGUUUAUCUCCGUAUCCCCCGUGCGCCGGCGGUGGCCAUGCGAGCCGAUCUCUCGGCACGGUUGGGCCCACCCACCGGCCCAACAAACCAACCCCGGCGCGGCACGCGCCAAGGAACUUUGCAUCAUAAGAAGGAUCACGCUCCCGUCCGUGCCGGAAAUCGGAUAACACGGUCGGUGGCUGUCCUCCUGUUCAUAACAAAAACGACUCUCGGCAACGGAUAUCUAGGCUCUUGCAUCGAUGAAGAACGUAGCGAAAUGCGAUACUUGGUGUGAAUUGCAGAAUCCCGUGAACCAUCGAGUCUUUGAACGCAAGUUGCGCCCGAAGCCUUCUGGCCGAGGGCACGUCUGCCUGGGUGUCACACAUCGUCGCCCCAAACCCAACACCUCGUCAGAGGAGAUUGGGAAGAGGAUGGGCGGAUAAUGGUCUCCCGUGCGCACCCGUUCGCGGUUGGCCCAAAAAUCAGUUCCUGGCGAUCGCAAGCCACGACCAGCGGGUGGUUGUAAGACCCUCGGUUCUAAGUCGUGAGCACCUGCCUCGCAUGAUGGGACAAUUUGACCCCGAACGUGAUCGAUGAUGAACUUCGAACACUCACAAA